rnacentral:rRNA from 1 species
GGUUAAGCGACUAAGCGUACACGGUGGAUGCCCUGGCAGUCAGAGGCGAUGAAGGACGUGCUAAUCUGCGAUAAGCGUCGGUAAGGUGAUAUGAACCGUUAUAACCGGCGAUUUCCGAAUGGGGAAACCCAGUGUGUUUCGACACACUAUCAUUAACUGAAUCCAUAGGUUAAUGAGGCGAACCGGGGGAACUGAAACAUCUAAGUACCCCGAGGAAAAGAAAUCAACCGAGAUUCCCCCAGUAGCGGCGAGCGAACGGGGAGCAGCCCAGAGCCUGAAUCAGUAUGUGUGUUAGUGGAAGCGUCUGGAAAGGCGCGCGAUACAGGGUGACAGCCCCGUACACAAAAAUGCACAUAUUGUGAGCUCGAUGAGUAGGGCGGGACACGUGGUAUCCUGUCUGAAUAUGGGGGGACCAUCCUCCAAGGCUAAAUACUCCUGACUGACCGAUAGUGAACCAGUACCGUGAGGGAAAGGCGAAAAGAACCCCGGCGAGGGGAGUGAAAAAGAACCUGAAACCGUGUACGUACAAGCAGUGGGAGCACGCUUAGGCGUGUGACUGCGUACCUUUUGUAUAAUGGGUCAGCGACUUAUAUUCUGUAGCAAGGUUAACCGAAUAGGGGAGCCGAAGGGAAACCGAGUCUUAACUGGGCGUUAAGUUGCAGGGUAUAGACCCGAAACCCGGUGAUCUAGCCAUGGGCAGGUUGAAGGUUGGGUAACACUAACUGGAGGACCGAACCGACUAAUGUUGAAAAAUUAGCGGAUGACUUGUGGCUGGGGGUGAAAGGCCAAUCAAACCGGGAGAUAGCUGGUUCUCCCCGAAAGCUAUUUAGGUAGCGCCUCGUGAAUUCAUCUCCGGGGGUAGAGCACUGUUUCGGCAAGGGGGUCAUCCCGACUUACCAACCCGAUGCAAACUGCGAAUACCGGAGAAUGUUAUCACGGGAGACACACGGCGGGUGCUAACGUCCGUCGUGAAGAGGGAAACAACCCAGACCGCCAGCUAAGGUCCCAAAGUCAUGGUUAAGUGGGAAACGAUGUGGGAAGGCCCAGACAGCCAGGAUGUUGGCUUAGAAGCAGCCAUCAUUUAAAGAAAGCGUAAUAGCUCACUGGUCGAGUCGGCCUGCGCGGAAGAUGUAACGGGGCUAAACCAUGCACCGAAGCUGCGGCAGCGACACUAUGUGUUGUUGGGUAGGGGAGCGUUCUGUAAGCCUGUGAAGGUGUGCUGUGAGGCAUGCUGGAGGUAUCAGAAGUGCGAAUGCUGACAUAAGUAACGAUAAAGCGGGUGAAAAGCCCGCUCGCCGGAAGACCAAGGGUUCCUGUCCAACGUUAAUCGGGGCAGGGUGAGUCGACCCCUAAGGCGAGGCCGAAAGGCGUAGUCGAUGGGAAACAGGUUAAUAUUCCUGUACUUGGUGUUACUGCGAAGGGGGGACGGAGAAGGCUAUGUUGGCCGGGCGACGGUUGUCCCGGUUUAAGCGUGUAGGCUGGUUUUCCAGGCAAAUCCGGAAAAUCAAGGCUGAGGCGUGAUGACGAGGCACUACGGUGCUGAAGCAACAAAUGCCCUGCUUCCAGGAAAAGCCUCUAAGCAUCAGGUAACAUCAAAUCGUACCCCAAACCGACACAGGUGGUCAGGUAGAGAAUACCAAGGCGCUUGAGAGAACUCGGGUGAAGGAACUAGGCAAAAUGGUGCCGUAACUUCGGGAGAAGGCACGCUGAUAUGUAGGUGAAGUCCCUCGCGGAUGGAGCUGAAAUCAGUCGAAGAUACCAGCUGGCUGCAACUGUUUAUUAAAAACACAGCACUGUGCAAACACGAAAGUGGACGUAUACGGUGUGACGCCUGCCCGGUGCCGGAAGGUUAAUUGAUGGGGUCAGCGCAAGCGAAGCUCUUGAUCGAAGCCCCGGUAAACGGCGGCCGUAACUAUAACGGUCCUAAGGUAGCGAAAUUCCUUGUCGGGUAAGUUCCGACCUGCACGAAUGGCGUAAUGAUGGCCAGGCUGUCUCCACCCGAGACUCAGUGAAAUUGAACUCGCUGUGAAGAUGCAGUGUACCCGCGGCAAGACGGAAAGACCCCGUGAACCUUUACUAUAGCUUGACACUGAACAUUGAGCCUUGAUGUGUAGGAUAGGUGGGAGGCUUGGAAGUGUGGACGCCAGUCUGCAUGGAGCCGACCUUGAAAUACCACCCUUUAAUGUUUGAUGUUCUAACGUUGACCCGUAAUCCGGGUUGCGGACAGUGUCUGGUGGGUAGUUUGACUGGGGCGGUCUCCUCCUAAAGAGUAACGGAGGAGCACGAAGGUUGGCUAAUCCUGGUCGGACAUCAGGAGGUUAGUGCAAUGGCAUAAGCCAGCUUGACUGCGAGCGUGACGGCGCGAGCAGGUGCGAAAGCAGGUCAUAGUGAUCCGGUGGUUCUGAAUGGAAGGGCCAUCGCUCAACGGAUAAAAGGUACUCCGGGGAUAACAGGCUGAUACCGCCCAAGAGUUCAUAUCGACGGCGGUGUUUGGCACCUCGAUGUCGGCUCAUCACAUCCUGGGGCUGAAGUAGGUCCCAAGGGUAUGGCUGUUCGCCAUUUAAAGUGGUACGCGAGCUGGGUUUAGAACGUCGUGAGACAGUUCGGUCCCUAUCUGCCGUGGGCGCUGGAGAACUGAGGGGGGCUGCUCCUAGUACGAGAGGACCGGAGUGGACGCAUCACUGGUGUUCGGGUUGUCAUGCCAAUGGCACUGCCCGGUAGCUAAAUGCGGAAGAGAUAAGUGCUGAAAGCAUCUAAGCACGAAACUUGCCCCGAGAUGAGUUCUCCCUGACCCUUUAAGGGUCCUGAAGGAACGUUGAAGACGACGACGUUGAUAGGCCGGGUGUGUAAGCGCAGCGAUGCGUUGAGCUAACCGGUACUAAUGAACCGUGAGGCUUAACCUU